rfam:Pteropus alecto contig162615, whole genome shotgun sequence.
GUGUUGUACAAAAGGAGAGGUGGGCAGCACUCUCCUUGACGAGGAUAGAGGAGGCUCUUGGGCCUGACAACACACAUGUGGUUAAGACAUUACUACCUAUUUCAUGGCAUAUAACCAUCAUAUUUU